rnacentral:rRNA from 1 species
GACGAACGCUGGCGGCGUGCCUAAUACAUGCAAGUAGGACGCAGUUGCGAACGGGUGAGUAACGCGUAGGUAACUACCUAUUAGAGGGGGAUAACUAUUGGAAACGAUAGCUAAUACCGCCUACUAGUAGAUGGACCUGCGUUGUAUUAGCUAGUAGGUAGGGUAAUGGCCUACCUAGGCAACGAUACAUAGCCGACCUGGGAGGGGUGUCGGGCACAAUGGGACUGAGACACGGCCCAGGAUCCUACGGGAGGCAGCAGGAGGGAAUCGUCGGAAAUGGGGGGAAACCUGACCGAGCAACGCCGCGGGAGUGAAGAAGGGUUUCGGAGCGGAAAGCUCUGUUGUGAAGGAAGCGGUACUUAACCAGAAAGGGACGGCUAACUACGUGCCAGCAGCCGCGGUAAUAC